AUACGGAGGGUGCGAGCGUUAAUCGGAAUUACUGGGCGUAAAGGGUGCGUGGGCGGUUUGAUAAGUCGGAUGUGAAAGCCCCGGGCUUAACCUGGGAAUGGCAUUCGAUACUGUCAGGCUAGAGUAUGUCAGAGGUUGGCGGAAUUCCUGGUGUAGCGGUGAAAUGCGUAGAUAUCAGGAGGAACACCAGUGGCGAAGGCGGCUAACUGGGGCAAUACUGACGCUGAGGCACGAAAGCGUGGGGAGCAAACAGGAUUAGAUACCCUAGUAGUCC
rnacentral:rRNA from 1 species